rnacentral:rRNA from 1 species
AACGAACGCUGGCGGCAUGCCUAACACAUGCAAGUCGAACGAGACCUUCGGGUCUAGUGGCGCACGGGUGCGUAACGUGUGGGAACCUGCCCUUAGGUUCGGAAUAACUCCCCGAAAGGGGUGCUAAUACCGGAUAAUGUCUUCGGACCAAAGAUUUAUCGCCUUUGGAGGGGCCCGCGUUGGAUUAGCUGGUUGGUAGGGUAAAAGCCUACCAAGGCGACGAUCCAUAGCUGGUCUGAGAGGAUGAUCAGCCACACUGGGACUGAGACACGGCCCAGACUCCUACGGGAGGCAGCAGUGGGGAAUAUUGGACAAUGGGCGAAAGCCUGAUCCAGCAAUGCCGCGUGAGUGAUGAAGGCCUUAGGGUUGUAAAGCUCUUUUACCCGGGAUGAUAAUGACAGUACCGGGAGAAUAAGCUCCGGCUAACUCCGUG